AGAGAGAGACAUGCGCGCAUAUCAAUAAGCGGAGGAAAAGAAACUAACAAGGAUUCCCCUAGUAACGGCGAGUGAAGCGGGAAGAGCUCAAAUUUGAAAUCUUAAAGGGUUUCCCUUUACGAAUUGCAGUUUAAAGAAGUGUUUUCUGUUGAGGUUUUGGUAAAAGUUCUUUGGAAUAGGAUCAUCAUAGAGGGUGAGAAUCCCGUAUUUGACCUUUACUUUCAACUUUGUGAUACACUUUCAAAGAGUCGGAUUGUUUGGGAAUGCAGUCCAAAAUGGGUGGUAAAUUUCAUCUAAAGCUAAAUAUUGGCGAGAGACCGAUAGCGAACAAGUACCGUGAGGGAAAGAUGAAAAGAACUUUGAAAAGAGAGUUAAACAGUACGUGAAAUUGUCAAAAGGGAAGCGUUUGACACCAGUGUUGUUUUUCUGAAAAUCAAUUAAAGAACUGUUUAUGCUAAGUUGUUUAGACUUUAUCAGCUAACUGUUUAGUUUUGAGCUUUUCUUUAAUGCACUUUUCAGCUAACAAGUCAACAUCAAUUUCUUUUGCUGUAAAAAAGCUUGAGGAAGGUGGCUUGAGAUUCGUCUUAAGUGUUUAUAGCCUCUUGCCUAUGCAGUCGGAGAGAUUGAGGUCUGCAGCGUAGAUCCUUCGGGGCUAAAUGCAUUUGUGCUAAGUUAUAGCAUUUUAUAGACAACUUGUUGACUAUGAUUUGUCUUGUAGCUUACUCGCUUAUGUUAUUUUACCUACGCUUAGGAUGUUGAGCGCAUGUCUCUCUCU
rnacentral:rRNA from 1 species